rnacentral:rRNA from 1 species
ACGGGGGGGGCAAGCGUUGUUCGGAAUUACUGGGCGUAAAGGGUCUGUAGGUGGCCAACUAAGUCAGACGUGAAAUCCCUCAGCUUAACUGGGGAACUGCGUCUGAUACUGGUUGGCUUGAGUGCAGGAGAGGAAUGCGGAAUUCCAGGUGUAGCGGUGAAAUGCGCAGAUAUCGGGAGGAACACCCGUAGCGAAGGCGGCACUCUGGGCCGGUACUGACGCUGAGGAGCGAAAGCGUGGGGAGCAAACAGGA